UUGUCGCUGAGCGCUCAAGAUCCAUGCUGAUAACUACAGUUACUCGGUAGUUGGUCAGAUUCAACGCCUGUGUCAUUGUUUUCAUAUUAGAUAACAUCGUCAGUUAUGUGAAUAUAUUAAUCAUUGCAGAAAACGAAACGUACUAUGUAAGACCAUUAAUAGGUGUAUUACAGACAUUUUUGGUAAUUCUUGUUAUAAUCGUUAAAAAAAUUCAUUAAAAAACCUUGGGUUAUGAAGUUAAAGGUAAAAACGUCUGCUGAACUCACAUAUCCACAUAAACACGUUGUACACUAUAGUAAAGUAAAAAUGGCAGAUAAAACAAUGGUUAAUCGAUGCGUUCGUCUUCCUGUCGAUAAAAUUUAUGUUCUUCGUAAUUUUUAUAAAAUUGAACUGUUAUUUAUUUAUUAUAUGAACAAAAAAUAAAAUAAAAUGCAGUGACCAAUGUUCUAAUUGUA